UGAACGCUGGCGGCGUGCCUAAUACAUGCAAGUCGAGCGAACAGACGAGGAGCUUGCUCCUCUGACGUUAGCGGCGGACGGGUGAGUAACACGUGGAUAACCUACCUAUAAGACUGGGAUAACUUCGGGAAACCGGAGCUAAUACCGGAUAAUAUAUUGAACCGCAUGGUUCAAUAGUGAAAGACGGUUUUGCUGUCACUUAUAGAUGGAUCCGCGCCGCAUUAGCUAGUUGGUAAGGUAACGGCUUACCAAGGCAACGAUGCGUAGCCGACCUGAGAGGGUGAUCGGCCACACUGGAACUGAGACACGGUCCAGACUCCUACGGGAGGCAGCAGUAGGGAAUCUUCCGCAAUGGGCGAAAGCCUGACGGAGCAACGCCGCGUGAGUGAUGAAGGUCUUCGGAUCGUAAAACUCUGUUAUUAGGGAAGAACAAAUGUGUAAGUAACUAUGCACGUCUUGACGGUACCUAAUCAGAAAGCCACGGCUAACUACGUGCCAGCAGCCGCGGUAAUACGUAGGUGGCAAGCGUUAUCCGGAAUUAUUGGGCGUAAAGCGCGCGUAGGCGGUUUUUUAAGUCUGAUGUGAAAGCCCACGGCUCAACCGUGGAGGGUCAUUGGAAACUGGAAAACUUGAGUGCAGAAGAGGAAAGUGGAAUUCCAUGUGUAGCGGUGAAAUGCGCAGAGAUAUGGAGGAACACCAGUGGCGAAGGCGACUUUCUGGUCUGUAACUGACGCUGAUGUGCGAAAGCGUGGGGAUCAAACAGGAUUAGAUACCCUGGUAGUCCACGCCGUAAACGAUGAGUGCUAAGUGUUAGGGGGUUUCCGCCCCUUAGUGCUGCAGCUAACGCAUUAAGCACUCCGCCUGGGGAGUACGACCGC
rnacentral:rRNA from 1 species